UUUCCGUAGGUGAACCUGCGGAAGGAUCAUUAAUGGAAUGAAGGGAGGUUGUCGCUGGCUGUCUAACAGCAUGUGCACACCUCUCUAAUUAUCCAACUACACCUGUGCACUAUCGGGAGUGAUCUGGAUGGGCUUGACCCUGAAAGAGCAUUCUGUCUUUACAUACACACUACAAGUUUAGAAUGUAUUUGGCAUAUAUGGAAAUAAAAACAACUUUCAACAACGGAUCUCUAGGCUCUCGCAUCGAUGAAGAACGCAGC
rnacentral:misc_RNA from 1 species